GCGGAGUGCUUAAUGCGUUAGCUACGGCACUAAACCCCGGAAAGGGUCUAACACCUAGCACUCAUCGUUUACAGCGUGGACUACCAGGGUAUCUAAUCCUGUUUGCUCCCCACGCUUUCGAGCCUCAGCGUCAGUUACAAGCCAGAGAGCCGCUUUCGCCACUGGUGUUCCUCCAUAUAUCUACGCAUUUCACCGCUACACAUGGAAUUCCACUCUCCCCUCUUGCACUCAAGUUAAACAGUUUCCAAAGCCUACUAUGGUUGAGCCACAGCCUUUAACUUCAGACUUAUCUAACCGCCUGCGCUCGCUUUACGCCCAAUAAAUCCGGACAACGCUCGGGACCUACGUAUUACCGCGGCUGCUGGCACGUAGUUAGCCGUCCCUUUCUGGUAAGAUACCGUCACAGUGUGAACUUUCCACUCUCACACUCGUUCUUCUCUUACAACAGAGCUUUACGAUCCGAAAACCUUCUUCACUCACGCGGCGUUGCUCGGUCAGACUUCCGUCCAUUGCCGAAGAUUCCCUACUGCUGCCUCCCGUAGGAGUCUGGGCCGUGUCUCA
rnacentral:rRNA from 1 species